CCACUGUGUAGCUCAGAUGGUAAGAGCACCGAACGCUAAUUCGGCUGUCGUGGGUUCGACUCCCGCCACACUGAC
rnacentral:tRNA from 1 species